AGGGAUUGAACUCACGACUGCCUGCUUGCAAGGCAGGUGCUUACGCCGCUGAGCUAAACCCCCAGCCCCCUGUCUAAUAUUCUUAAUUUGCAGCCAGUCAUUUAAAUCACACAUCCAAAAUGGAGCAUUUCCUUUAGUCUCCAAGCACAAAAGAAAAGAGUUGUCAUUAAAUCUUCCGUUAUGUCUCUGGGAGAAAAGGUUCUGUCCUUUUAGAGGAACAGUCCUCAUAUGGCACCUCUGCAAAGGAUUCCCAAGACACCAGGCAAAGCAACCAGAGAUAAAGAGGAGCGAGGCGGCUCUUCUCUGGGCUGAGCAUCCACCCUACAGGAUCACAGAGGCAGCUGGGGGACCGUGAAGCUGCUUAGACAUUGCUGAGGUUGGCGGGGAGAUGGGCCUAAGCAUCAUGGGACAGGGAAGGGCCAAGAAUUGACAGGCACAUAAUACAGACAUUCAGUUCAUAAAUAUUUUUAAAAGUUCUCAACAGGGGAUGUGUUUUGAAUUUUCAUAGCAGCGUUAUUCAUAAUAGCCCCAAAGUACAGACAACUCAAAUAUGCAUCAACUGAUGUAUACCCAAAAUGUGGUAUAUCCAUACAUUGGAAGAUUACUCAGCCUUAAACAUGAAUUGAGUACUGGUAUGCUACUGUGUGGAUGAGUCUCAAGAAUAUUAUUGAAAAGAAAGCUGCCAGACACAAAAGAACUUGCUUCACUGUGUGGCUCCAUCCAUAUGAAAUGUCCAAAGAGGUCAAUCUGGAGAGAUUGGAAGCUCAGUGGCACUGGAGAACCCUGCAGGUGCUCAGAAGGCUUUCUGGGUCCAUGGACUCUGGACUCUGUCUGCCGGAAGAAUUGUGAGUCUCAUGACCAGGACAGAACCUUCUCUCCACUCCCAGCCAAGGUAAACCAAAGCGAUGUGGGGGAUUGUGCCAGCCCUGACAAAGUGGGUCUUGGUGAACCAAGACACCAGCCUGGGAGGACAGGCAGUGACCAUCCAGCCAUCCACGGGGAACUCGGCUCCUGUGAAACAAGCCGAGGAGGACAAGCCAGAAGCCAAGGCACUGACCGAACACGGAGACCUGAGGCUUUCCUCCCUGGCCAUCCGUCAAACUGUGUUCUGUGUUAUAACCACCUUUCAACUAACAAACUGGGAGGUCAGAGCAGUCUACGAGGUUUGUGUCUAAAAGUUAUG